CUUAAUCAGUCUUCUGGGAAAUCUAAUCGCUUAACUAUUAGGCUUCCAGGGGAUACUGUUAGACUUGGGACCGGGAGAGGUAAGAGGUACUGCGGGGGUAGGAGUGAAAUCUUGUAAUCCCUGUGAGACCACCAGUGGCGAAGGCGUCUUACCAGAACGGGUCCGACGGUGAGGGACGAAAGCUGGGGGCACGAACCGGAUUAGAUACCCGGGUAGUCCCAGCUGUAAACGAUGCUCGUUAGGUGUCAGGAACGGUGCGACUGUUUCUGGUGCCGAAGGGAAGCCGUGAAACGAGCCACCUGGGAAGUACGGCCGCAAGGCUGAAACUUAAAGGAAUUGGCGGGGGAGCACUACAACGGGUGGAGCCUGCGGUUUAAUUGGACUCAACGCCGGAAAACUCACCGGGGGCGACAGCAAUAUGUAGGUCAGGUUAAAGGUCUUACCUGAAUCGCUGAGAGGAGGUGCAUGGCCGUCGUCAGUUCGUACUGUGAAGCAUCCUGUUAAGUCAGGCAACGAGCAAGACCCGUGCCCACUGUUACCAGCAUAUCCUUUAUGGAUGAUGGGGACUCUGUGGGGACCGCUGCUGCUAAAGCAGAGGAAGGUGCGGGCUACGGUAGGUCAGUAUGCCCCGAAUCUCCCGGGCUACACGCGGGCUACAAUGGUUGGGACAAUGGGUAUCUACUCCGAAAGGAGUUGGCAAUCUCUUAAACCCAAUCGUAGUUCGAACUGAGGGCUGUAACUCGCCCUCCAUGAAGCUGGAAUCCGUAGUAAUCGCGUUUCAACAUAGCGCGG
rnacentral:rRNA from 1 species